AGCGUACACGGUGGAUGCCCUGGCAGUCAGAGGCGAUGAAGGACGUGCUAAUCUGCGAUAAGCGUCGGUAAGGUGAUAUGAACCGUUAUAACCGGCGAUUUCCGAAUGGGGAAACCCAGUGUGUUUCGACACACUAUCAUUAACUGAAUCCAUAGGUUAAUGAGGCGAACCGGGGGAACUGAAACAUCUAAGUACCCCGAGGAAAAGAAAUCAACCGAGAUUCCCCCAGUAGCGGCGAGCGAACGGGGAGCAGCCCAGAGCCUGAAUCAGUGUGUGUGUUAGUGGAAGCGUCUGGAAAGGCGCGCGAUACAGGGUGACAGCCCCGUACACAAAAAUGCACAUGCUGUGAGCUCGAUGAGUAGGGCGGGACACGUGGUAUCCUGUCUGAAUAUGGGGGGACCAUCCUCCAAGGCUAAAUACUCCUGACUGACCGAUAGUGAACCAGUACCGUGAGGGAAAGGCGAAAAGAACCCCGGCGAGGGGAGUGAAAAAGAACCUGAAACCGUGUACGUACAAGCAGUGGGAGCACAGAGCAAUCUGUGUGACUGCGUACCUUUUGUAUAAUGGGUCAGCGACUUAUAUUCUGUAGCAAGGUUAACCGAAUAGGGGAGCCGAAGGGAAACCGAGUCUUAACUGGGCGUUAAGUUGCAGGGUAUAGACCCGAAACCCGGUGAUCUAGCCAUGGGCAGGUUGAAGGUUGGGUAACACUAACUGGAGGACCGAACCGACUAAUGUUGAAAAAUUAGCGGAUGACUUGUGGCUGGGGGUGAAAGGCCAAUCAAACCGGGAGAUAGCUGGUUCUCCCCGAAAGCUAUUUAGGUAGCGCCUCGUGAAUUCAUCUCCGGGGGUAGAGCACUGUUUCGGCAAGGGGGUCAUCCCGACUUACCAACCCGAUGCAAACUGCGAAUACCGGAGAAUGUUAUCACGGGAGACACACGGCGGGUGCUAACGUCCGUCGUGAAGAGGGAAACAACCCAGACCGCCAGCUAAGGUCCCAAAGUCAUGGUUAAGUGGGAAACGAUGUGGGAAGGCCCAGACAGCCAGGAUGUUGGCUUAGAAGCAGCCAUCAUUUAAAGAAAGCGUAAUAGCUCACUGGUCGAGUCGGCCUGCGCGGAAGAUGUAACGGGGCUAAACCAUGCACCGAAGCUGCGGCAGCGACGCUUAUGCGUUGUUGGGUAGGGGAGCGUUCUGUAAGCCUGUGAAGGUGUGCUGUGAGGCAUGCUGGAGGUAUCAGAAGUGCGAAUGCUGACAUAAGUAACGAUAAAGCGGGUGAAAAGCCCGCUCGCCGGAAGACCAAGGGUUCCUGUCCAACGUUAAUCGGGGCAGGGUGAGUCGACCCCUAAGGCGAGGCCGAAAGGCGUAGUCGAUGGGAAACAGGUUAAUAUUCCUGUACUUGGUGUUACUGCGAAGGGGGGACGGAGAAGGCUAUGUUGGCCGGGCGACGGUUGUCCCGGUUUAAGCGUGUAGGCUGGUUUUCCAGGCAAAUCCGGAAAAUCAAGGCUGAGGCGUGAUGACGAGGCACUACGGUGCUGAAGCAACAAAUGCCCUGCUUCCAGGAAAAGCCUCUAAGCAUCAGGUAACAUCAAAUCGUACCCCAAACCGACACAGGUGGUCAGGUAGAGAAUACCAAGGCGCUUGAGAGAACUCGGGUGAAGGAACUAGGCAAAAUGGUGCCGUAACUUCGGGAGAAGGCACGCUGAUAUGUAGGUGAAGCGACUUGCUCGUGGAGCUGAAAUCAGUCGAAGAUACCAGCUGGCUGCAACUGUUUAUUAAAAACACAGCACUGUGCAAACACGAAAGUGGACGUAUACGGUGUGACGCCUGCCCGGUGCCGGAAGGUUAAUUGAUGGGGUCAGCGCAAGCGAAGCUCUUGAUCGAAGCCCCGGUAAACGGCGGCCGUAACUAUAACGGUCCUAAGGUAGCGAAAUUCCUUGUCGGGUAAGUUCCGACCUGCACGAAUGGCGUAAUGAUGGCCAGGCUGUCUCCACCCGAGACUCAGUGAAAUUGAACUCGCUGUGAAGAUGCAGUGUACCCGCGGCAAGACGGAAAGACCCCGUGAACCUUUACUAUAGCUUGACACUGAACAUUGAGCCUUGAUGUGUAGGAUAGGUGGGAGGCUUUGAAGUGUGGACGCCAGUCUGCAUGGAGCCGACCUUGAAAUACCACCCUUUAAUGUUUGAUGUUCUAACGUUGACCCGUAAUCCGGGUUGCGGACAGUGUCUGGUGGGUAGUUUGACUGGGGCGGUCUCCUCCUAAAGAGUAACGGAGGAGCACGAAGGUUGGCUAAUCCUGGUCGGACAUCAGGAGGUUAGUGCAAUGGCAUAAGCCAGCUUGACUGCGAGCGUGACGGCGCGAGCAGGUGCGAAAGCAGGUCAUAGUGAUCCGGUGGUUCUGAAUGGAAGGGCCAUCGCUCAACGGAUAAAAGGUACUCCGGGGAUAACAGGCUGAUACCGCCCAAGAGUUCAUAUCGACGGCGGUGUUUGGCACCUCGAUGUCGGCUCAUCACAUCCUGGGGCUGAAGUAGGUCCCAAGGGUAUGGCUGUUCGCCAUUUAAAGUGGUACGCGAGCUGGGUUUAGAACGUCGUGAGACAGUUCGGUCCCUAUCUGCCGUGGGCGCUGGAGAACUGAGGGGGGCUGCUCCUAGUACGAGAGGACCGGAGUGGACGCAUCACUGGUGUUCGGGUUGUCAUGCCAAUGGCACUGCCCGGUAGCUAAAUGCGGAAGAGAUAAGUGCUGAAAGCAUCUAAGCACGAAACUUGCCCCGAGAUGAGUUCU
rnacentral:rRNA from 1 species